UAAAUAGUGCAAAUCAGCAGAGCAACAACAACAAAAGUCACAGCACAUGUGACACAUUUUGGAAUUACUGUGACAAACAACAAAAAUUGGAUUAAAACAACAUAACCGAAAUAAAAGCUCACUGUGUGGUCGCAAAGAAAAUGGAGUUUAACAAAUAAAAACCAAAAUUUCCGCAAAAAUAAUGAGGAGACAGAUUGGAUCGAACUGUGCAGGUGUGCAAUGAUUUGCUCUAUGUGUCUUUAUGUGGCAGAUAAGACUACGCACGUCAACAUGUGUGGCAAACAAGUGAAUGUGAGCCAAAUUAGCGGUGUACAAGUGGAAGCAAGAUAAAAAAACUAGAAAAGAAAUAACAAAAAAUAUAAUGAAGCAGAAAUUGGCAAUAAGUCCAAUAAUGUCGCAGGAUAAUCAUUUUUCUUGUGCCACGGGGCAAGUGCAUGUGUUAUUUUUAAGCGAAAUGACAGCAGAACGUUGAGAGAGCGUUUAAGUAACAUACAACAACGACAAUAACUGCGAGCAAGUGUCAUAGAGAUGAAGGGAUUCAAUGUAUACAUACUUAUAUGUAUGCGCAUGUGUCUGUGAACCAAUCGACGGCCAAUGAAAGCUGUUAAAAAGCAGAUAUAUUUUAACAGUAAAUUUGCGUCGAAGGCAGCAGCAGCAAAACUGUACACACACACACUCAA